UGCAUUCUCACUGCAUCCAAGGACGGAUCAUUCCUGAUGAGGGCUCUGACGCACAGAGAAAUUAAGUAACUCACCCAAGCUCGGGAAUCAUAUAUUAACUGUUCCAAGUGGAUUGGUCUCCCUCUUUCUCAUGAACUCCAGACUCAUACGUCCUCUCUCAGA